rnacentral:rRNA from 1 species
UACGGAGGGUGCGAGCGUUAAUCGGAAUUACUGGGCGUAAAGGGUGCGUAGGUGGUUUGAUAAGUUAGCUGUGAAAUCCCCGGGCUUAACCUGGGCAGGUCAGCUAAGACUGUUGAACUCGAGUAUGGGAGAGGGUAGUGGAAUUUCCGGUGUAGCGGUGAAAUGCGUAGAGAUCGGAAGGAACACCAGUGGCGAAGGCGGCUACCUGGCCUAAUACUGACACUGAGGCACGAAAGCGUGGGGAGCAAACAGG